CCAGAAGAAAAAAUUAGCUGAGUAAAUUUAGUAUCAGUGGUGUUAUGUUAGUCUCUAUUACCUGAACAUUUAGUAUUUGCCCACUUUGAUUUUACAAACAUAUAAGCAUCCCUUCCAAAGUGUAGAUGUCCUUAAAAAUAGCUAUUGGGGAUUGUCAAUAAAUAUACAAAAAGCAAGUCCAAAAAUAAUUCUUCUGCCCUAAAGAAGUAUCUGUCCAUUUGACUGAUAUUUUAUCUUUCAAUAUUCACAAACCACACCUCCUGAAAUACAAGUUUAUAUCAAAGGACUCUGAUCUUUAAAGUUCACCAAACUACUUCUCAAGGAGUAAUGCAAGGCAGGGUAAAUUUAACCUUUGCUAAAACCCCUCAGAAUCUGAAGUAUAAAUUAAAUGGGCCCUAGCACAUGGAGAGGGAGAAGCCAAGUCUAAAACCACUUUUUUUUUUUUUUUUAAUUGUAAAGGGCUAAUAGAGUUCAUUAUUUCCCAUCUGACAUAAUUUUUUGGUUAUCCAUGCAAAAUUCUCAUUAGUUGCAAGACAGCCCUUUAAAUAGCAUAUGUUGUCCCAGUCAGAUGAGGAAGGUUUGUAAAAGAAAGUUGUGUCUAAUAAAUAUCAUUUUUCCCUAACAGAUUCGGACAUUGCUGAACUCGAGCAUGUAGGAGCAGAUGAUCCAACUGAGAUUAUCACAGGAAGUCCAAGAGGAAUUUAAUCCAAUCCUUUGAACUUUCAAGAGCAAACGCAACUGAGACUGAUUUUGAAGGAAGCGCUCUUAUUGAAGAAGAUACUGUGUUCUAGAAAAUCCUGACCAGUCAAAAUUUCCCCCUCCCGGGCAAAAGAGUGGAACAGAGGUCUUGGGUCCAAAAUAGCAAAAUGCAUGCACUCCACAACAGGACAACUUUCCCUCAUCAGUGCACUGCUCUGCAGAGGCUUUCAGAAAGAAGUAUUUCAGCUUCACUACUUUCCCCUGACCACUGGGAUGUUCAGAAGAGAAGCAUUUGAACUGGUACCUUGGAGUCCACAGGAAGGAUUAUUGUCUCGCAUUUCACCCUGAAAACAAGACUCUCACAUAGUACUGAAGAUGAAGCUGACAACUGUCAACUGCUGCAAGAACAAGUCUUCAUGAAGUCUAGCUCUACCAAAAUUACUGAUUUGCUGCAUAUCUACAGCCUUGUCUUUUUACCGGCACUGUAGGCUGAUGGUGUAUCUUUUAAGAGAACUCUUGUACUGUAUUUACUUUAGACCUUAGCAUUUUGUCUCCUUUGUUGGGGUGGACCUGUCUGAAAUUAAAAUUCUUGAGAAUAAAACACCAAGGAACACGGGAAGUCA
rnacentral:lncRNA from 1 species